rnacentral:rRNA from 1 species
CUGCAACCCGCCUGCACGAAGCCGGAGUUGCUAGUAAUCGCGAAUCAGAAUGUCGCGGUGAAUGCGUUCCCGGGUCUUGUACACACCGCCCGUCAAGCCAUGGAAGCCGGGAGUGCCUGAAGUACGCGACCGCAAGGAGCGUCCUAAAGGUAAAACCGGUGACUGGGGCUAAGUCGUAACAAGGUAUC